rnacentral:rRNA from 1 species
AGGACGAACGCUGGCGGCGUGCUUAACACAUGCAAGUCGAACGAGGUGCUUGCACCUAGUGGCGAACGGGUGAGUAACACGUGAGCAACCUGCCCUUGGCUCUGGGAUAGCCUCCGGAAACGGGGAUUAAUACCGGACAUGACCUUCUCCUGCAUGGGGGAGGGUGGAAAGUUUUUCGGCCAGGGAGGGGCUCGCGGCCUAUCAGCUUGUUGGAGGGGUAACGGCCCACCAAGGCGACGACGGGUAGCCGGCCUGAGAGGGCGACCGGCCACACUGGGACUGAGACACGGCCCAGACUCCUACGGGAGGCAGCAGUGGGGAAUAUUGCACAAUGGGGGAAACCCUGAUGCAGCGACGCCGCGUGCGGGAUGAAGGCCUUCGGGUUGUAAACCGCUUUCAGCAGGGACGAAGCGAAAGUGACGGUACCUGCAGAAGAAGCGCCGGCUAACUACGUGCCAGCAGCCGC